AGGGUGCAAGCGUUAUCCGGAUUUACUGGGUUUAAAGGGGGAGUAGGCGGGCCUUUAAGUCAGUGGUGAAAGCUCCGAGCUUAACUCGGAAACUGCCAUUGAUACUAUUGGUCUUGAAUUCGGUCGAGGUUGGCGGAAUGUGUCGUGUAGCGGUGAAAUGCUUAGAUAUGACACAGAACACCGAUUGCGAAGGCAGCUAGCUAGACCGACAUUGACGCUGAGGCACGAAAGCGUGGGGAUCAAACAGG
rnacentral:rRNA from 1 species